AAGAGCGUUCUGGUGAAGACUCCCUCAUCCCAAGCGGACAGUGUUGUGCAGAUUUUGUACACUCCUUCUUCAGUCUCAUUAUCAGCUCAAUCAACUGCUUUCAGUGGAAGGUCUGUCAAAGUCAGGCGCCAUGGAGAGACGUUUACUCAGGUUAUCUCACGUAAUUCUCACCGCAAACAAAUAAAGAAGGCCUGUCCUGAGGUGCCUGCUGGACUUGUGGAAACUGAGGUUCAGAGAAGUUAGAUGACGACUCAGCAGCGGAAUGAAGAUUCAAUUCCAGAUUGUCUGAUGGCAGCGCUGGUUCUGUCCACUGAUUCACUCUUCUAUCUUCCACGUGCUGUUCUGCAAACAAAAGAGCGUCAGGUUCUAAGGUUUUUAAAUAAAGCUUCAAUGAUGGAGAGAGCCAGACAGAGAGUGAACAUCCUACAACACAGCUGGCGGGGAAACCGAGGCACAGAGCGGCUGCUGAGUGGAGCUGAGGUCGCGCGGCAGCAGCAGCCCGUGUCAGG